ACCCGCUGAAUUUAAGCAUAUCAAUAAGCGGAGGAAAAGAAACCAACAGGGAUUGCCCUAGUAACGGCGAGUGAAGCGGCAAAAGCUCAAAUUUGAAAUCUGGCCUUCUAUGGAGGUCCGAGUUGUAAUUUGCAGAGGGCGCUUUGGCGUCGGCAGCGGUCCAAGUUCUUUGGAACAGGACGUCACAGAGGGCGAGAAUCCCGUACGUGGUCGCCUGCCUUCGCCGUGUAAAGCCCCUUCGACGAGUCGAGUUGUUUGGGAAUGCAGCUCUGAAUGGGAGGUAAAUUUCUCCUAAAGCUAAAUACUGGCCAGAGACCGAUAGCGCACAAGUAGAGUGAUCGAGAGAUGAAAAGUACUUUGGAAAGAGAGUCAAAAAGCACGUGAAAUUGUUGAAAGGGAAGCGCUUGCAGCCAGACUUGCCCGCGGUUGUUCUCUUCCGUGGGCAGGCCAGCAUCAGUUUGGGCGAUCGGAUAAAGGCCUCUGUCACGUAUCACCCUUCGGGGUGACCUUAUAGGGGAGGUGUAAUGCGAUCAGCCUGGACUGAGGUCCGCGCAUCUGCUUAGGAUGCUGGCGUAAUGGCUGUAAGCGGCCCGUCUUGAAACACGGACCAAGGAG
rnacentral:rRNA from 1 species